rnacentral:snRNA from 1 species
GGAUGUAAGGGCAAUCUGGCUGUGACAUCUGUCACUACAUUGAUCACCAGGGUUGAUUCGGCUGAUCUGGCUGGCUAGGCCGGUGCCCCCUUCCUCCCUCACUGAUCCAGUUCCAUGUGCGCCCCUCCCAAAGCUAUGUGCUCGGUAGAAGUGGAUGACCUUCCCUGACAGAGGAGGACAUUCUUGGGCCAAGGGUAUUUGAGUAGCUGCACUCCCCUGAUAGAACCUCCAAACAAGCUCUCAAGGUCCAUUUGUGGGAGAACAUAGGGUAGUCAAGCUUCCAAGACUCUAGACACAUCCAAAUGAGAUGCUGCAUAUGGCAGUCUGCCUUUCUUA